AACGCUGGCGGGUGCCUAAUACAUGCAAGUAGAACGCUGAAGGAGGAGCUUGCUUCUCCGGAUGAGUUGCGAACGGGUGAGUAACGCGUAGGUAACCUGCCUGGUAGCGGGGGAUAACUAUUGGAAACGAUAGCUAAUACCGCAUAAGAGUAGAUGUUGCAUGACAUUUGCUUAAAAGGUGCAAUUGCAUCACUACCAGAUGGACCUGCGUUGUAUUAGCUAGUUGGUGGGGUAACGGCUCACCAAGGCGACGAUACAUAGCCGACCUGAGAGGGUGAUCGGCCACACUGGGACUGAGACACGGCCCAGACUCCUACGGGAGGCAGCAGUAGGGAAUCUUCGGCAAUGGACGGAAGUCUGACCGAGCAACGCCGCGUGAGUGAAGAAGGUUUUCGGAUCGUAAAGCUCUGUUGUAAGAGAAGAACGAGUGUGAGAGUGGAAAGUUCACACUGUGACGGUAUCUUACCAGAAAGGGACGGCUAACUACGUGCCAGCAGCCGCGGUAAUACGUAGGUCCCGAGCGUUGUCCGGAUUUAUUGGGCGUAAAGCGAGCGCAGGCGGUUAGAUAAGUCUGAAGUUAAAGGCUGUGGCUUAACCAUAGUACGCUUUGGAAACUGUUUAACUUGAGUGCAAGAGGGGAGAGUGGAAUUCCAUGUGUAGCGGUGAAAUGCGUAGAUAUAUGGAGGAACACCGGUGGCGAAAGCGGCUCUCUGGCU
rnacentral:rRNA from 1 species